UUCUGGCUCAGGAUGAACGCUGGCGGCGUGCUUAACACAUGCAAGUCGAACGGAGUUUUUAAACGGAAGUUUUCGGAUGGAAGUUUAGAAACUUAGUGGCGGACGGGUGAGUAACGCGUGGGUAACCUGCCUCAUACAGGGGGAUAACAGUUAGAAAUGACUGCUAACACCGCAUAAUAUAGCGAAACCGCAUGAUUUUUGCUAUCAAAUAUUUAUAGGUAUGAGAUGGGCCCGCGUCUGAUUAGCUAGUUGGUGGGGUAAAAGCCUACCAAGGCGACGAUCAGUAGCCGGCUUGAGAGAGUGACCGGCCACAUUGGGACUGAGACACGGCCCAAACUCCUACGGGAGGCAGCAGUGGGGAAUAUUGGACAAUGGGGGAAACCCUGAUCCAGCGACGCCCGCGUGAGUGAAGAAGUAUUUCGGUAUGUAAAGCUCUAUCAGCAGGGAAGAUAAUGACAGUACCUGACUAAGAAGCCCCGGCUAACUACGUGCCAGCAGCAGC
rnacentral:rRNA from 1 species